rnacentral:lncRNA from 1 species
CCGCGUUACAGAGCUACAGCGGUCUCCGGGUGGCGAAGUGCGGAGACGGGGUUUUGGAGACGGUGGAUGGAGGAGGGGGAGGGAAAGCUGCCAACUUUGGAUACCAACCCCGUACACCCAUCGAAGGGGAUGUCCCACUUUUUCCAGCGCUGGGAGCAAAAAGAUAACAGUGAGCGAGGUUGAAAACACCUGACAGUGAAAAGAGCAAUUUGAAGAAAAACAAAAUUUAUCUUCAAUGUGAAAAGCAAUUUAUAAAAAUCCGAAUACUUGCCAGGAGCAACUUGACAAAAAAGACAAAGGUGGUAGGAGAAAUGUAACCAGCCCACAAUUCCAAUGUUGAUAACAGAUGAGCUCCCUUUCAAGGUGACUGACAUUUACACAAGUAUACAGAGCAAGAAGAAGGUCUGAGUGAACUGCCAAGCAUUUUAACUUCUCCUGAGACCAAGUACAUCAACAGUUCUCUUGGAAAAGAACAACUGAUUUGGGAGUCCAGCAGACUGCCAGCUGCAAGACAUUCAUCCAGCAUCAGGAACACAAUGGGCCUUCAUUUGCCUGCCUUUCUGAGGGCACCAAUCAAAAGUAACAGCUGCCACCUUUUUCUAUGAGACUUGAUUAUAAUUUUCUAUGGCCAAGGGUUUGCUGUGACACUUCCACAUCAUUCUUCAGUAUGUAGUCCAGAGAUUAGCUACAGAUUCAAGAAACACAGACUGUAAACUAUUAUAUACAGACAUAUCUCAAAAUAAGCAUACCCAUUAGUGCCAGCUGCCCUGAAAGACUGAAUGACCGCAGCUAUUUUCCAAAUGUUUUUUCAGAAAGCCAUGAACACACCUUUCUGGGAUCCUAUCUAUUUCAAAGACAGGCAAAGCUCUGUGGUUCAGUUCCACCACCCAGUACCAAGCCCACAGUAUGCAGACCAUACGCCUUACACAUGGCCUUUUCUCUUUAUGUAAUUGCUGUACCAUAUUCAGCAGAUCUAGACUGACUCAAAGCAUGUUCCCUCAAGAAGCUCCACAGAAAAAAAGGUUUCUGUGAUCAAAAAUCAUUUGGGAAAUGCUGCAAACCCUAUCUCCCUCUUAGAGCUUAACCAUGCAUGUCGGGGCAUAAUAUAAACCUUUUCCAGUCUGGGCCACAGAGUGAGACCCCACCUCUAAAAUAAUAAAUCAAUAAACUCUUGAGAAGUACACAGAAAAGAAACUUCUGUAACUUUUUAGGUCUUAAUUACAAGCAAUUGUAGCUUAAUCUAAACUUGCUCUUCACUUUAUUUCUAUACUCUUGAAAACUAGUGACAUAAGCCUUAUGAAUUUUUUGUUUGUUUGUUUCUUCUUUUUUUAAGAGAGAGACAGGGUCUCAUUCUGUUGCUCAGGUUGGAGUGCAGAGGCACAAUCAUAGCUCACCGUAACCUUGAAUUCCUAGUCUCAAGUAAUCCUCCCAUCUCAGCCUCCCUAAUAACUAGGACUACAGGCACAUACCACCACAUCUGGCUAGUGUGUGUGUGUGUGUGUGUGUGUGUGUGUGUGUAAAGACAGGGGUCUCAUUAUGUUCCCCAGGCUGGUCUUGAACUCCUGGGCUUAAGCGAUCCUCCCACCGCAGCCUCCCAAAACUUUGGGAUUACAGGCAUGAGCCACUACACCUGGCUGGAUUAUUCUUUCUUUAAAAAAAUUUUUUUGGCCGGGCGCCGUGGCUCACGCCUGUAAUCCCAGCACUUUGAGGGGCCGAGGCGGGCGAAUCACGAGGUCAGGAGAUAGAGACCAUCCUGGCUAACACGGUGAAACCCCGUCUUUACUAAAAAAAAUAC